UUUUUUUCAUUUGAGAUUUUGUGUGAUUCACAAAACUAUUUUUUUACCUGCUGAGGUGGAGAAAGCUGAUUUUAAAUGAAAAUAGGAGACUAAAGAGUUUUUUGACCAAUCAAAAAGGUAGACACCAUUGUCCAAAGUCAGUGCAAAUAUGUUAUUGUGAAAUGAAUUAAAAAACUAACAUACCAGAUUAAAUUACUACACUUGGAUCUACACAAAAGACAAUUUUACUGUGGAUUUUCAAUAGUAUAACUGAGAGCAGAAUUUGUCCCAGUGAUUUUUUUUCUUCCAGAAGCUAAAAGCGCAGUGCUGGCCAGAUCAAGACACCAUCACAAAAGACAGGAAAUAAGAAGACCCCAAAUUUCUGAUAGCUGCUGAUAAAAGCAAGAGAAUGUGACCAUGAACAUCAACGAGGAAAUAUGAGUUGUGGCACCUUCACAUUGCUGAUGGCCCCGUCAUACUUUUUUAUUACUUUAGAUCAGUAGUUCUCCAGCUUUUCUAGGUAGUAGCCCACUUUUAAAUUUGUUAUGAACUCCUAGGAUUUUGAGAGAUCAAUUAUAAAAGAAUGUCACUGCAACCACAGUGCGAACGUCUAGAGGGUACACAAGCUAAAAGUUUAGGAAAGCAGAAGAUGGAGUAGGGAAAGUGUAAAUGGAGAAAAAGACCAAAAAAACCCCAAAAGAACACUACAAUAUCUUAGGUUAUUACCUAAGUUGCAACUGUCUUCAUUUGUGUCUUUUUCUCCAACAACCUAAUGCCGUUUGAAGGACACUGCUUUAGAUCCGCCUGGUGCAGAUCUGACUGAAAGCUAACGGUGACAACCCACAGAUAAUGCUUACAGAGUGGAGGAAACAACCAGGAAAACUGGCAGAAGUUAUACCCACACUUCCCACUCAAAGGGUAUUCCCACCUUAUCAUGUCCCCAAUUACUUCUGGAUGUCUAGAUAGAAACAGAUGCCAAGUGUGCUUUAUCUACAUGUGGUGGGUAGAUAACAUCUUCCUUUCCAGUGCUGACCUGGCCAUAAUUAUCCAUGCUUCCUCACCAGGUGGCUAGAUUGCUGUCAAGCAUGCUACAAGUGGGGGUUAUAUUUAUACCAUUCACAAACAGCAGUGACACAGUCAUUACCAGGUGCUUCUCACUUGGAAGACAGUGACAGAUAGAGGCUGCCAAUUUAUCUCCAGGUAAAAUUCAAGGUAUGCCUGGACUAUAGGGUGAAUUUGUUACCAGGGUUUUCAAAGGAUUUAUUUUUCAAACACUUAUUAUAUAUAUCACUUGUUAAAAUAUGUAUUUUUAAAUAUAUGAGAGGCUUGAUUCUCUGGUAGUUUAAGGAGGUCUUAUGGUGGGUGUAAAUAUAAUUUAGUCAGGUGAGCUGUAGAUGUAUCCCUGCUAUAAAUAAAAAUCAGAUCUGAAAUGUA